AAAAAGAACCCAUUGGAAAUAGUGGUGUUUGCCACCCCUAUUCGAAGCUGUUUUUGUUCACUAUGUGUAAGUUUGCAAUCUGAGAGCAGUACCGGAUGUUUAUUAUUAGAAAAGAUUACUGAGGAUAUUUAUCAGGUUUUACAAAGUCAUUUUUAAAAAGCAAGAUUAACAUUAAUAGAAUAACAUUUUAGGGAAGCUGGCUCCCUAGUCAUAUUUUAAAAGAUCAUUUGUAUAUUAUUUAUCACACUGUUGUAAUGUUUUCAGAUACUUUUAUAACAAAAUUGUCAAAAAUCUUUAAUAAUCUUUAUAAAAAGUAUUUACUUUAUUGAUGUGUACGUGUUGUUGGUGAAUUAAUUCCACAAAUCUCUUCUUGGUUUAACUUAUUGGAUCAAAUAAUCUUCAGCAUAUACAUGUGACAGAAAGUAGUUCAAAUACUUACGUUGAUGUACACUUCCAUUUUAUGUAUUAAUGCUAAUAUUUCCAUAAGUUACCAGCAAAUUACUGCAAAAAGCCUGAAUCUGUACAAUUUUAUUUCAGUCAGAAACAACUGAUAAUCUGAUAUAUGUCAAGUGAUAAAUGUCUUUUUCUUCUGUACCCAUACUACAGAUACUUUCUCAAGCUCUUCCUUUAAGCAGUUUUUUUAAAACGGCUCUAUGGUUCUAUUCAAGCUGUAUGUAGAGACUGAGUGUGAUGUCAGCAUGAAAAGAUAAUGCAUGGUGAGAAGCUAUUGUUUUAUAGGAUAUAUGAUAUAUUUAUAUGCUUAGGCCAUGAAUGAAUGUAUUACAGAAUGUUUUUGUGAAACUGUUUACUUAAGCUGUAACAAAACAGACUCAUUUCAUGGGGGAAAAAAAAAGCAUUGCUUUCCUUCAUGUGUGGGAGGGAGCCAAGAAAAUUAUUGCUUGCCCUGAAAAGACUUUUCUCUGUAUGUAUCUUUCAACAUGCUUCAGUUUUAUCAAUGCUACAGUAUUUUGUAUUUUCAAACAAGUAUAAACACUGCAAUAAAAAGUAGGUUUUU
rnacentral:lncRNA from 1 species